UCAAUAAGAAGGUUCAUAAGAUAGCUUUUUUAGGAAGGCUUUUCGGGAAACUUUUCACCUGUCCAAAGAAAUAAGCUCAACAUAGCAAACUGACACCUUGAACCUUGCAUCAGAACUGCCAGGUCUCUGGGGCCCACAGCUAAUGGAGAGCCUUUCCCCUCUCUGUCCUUGCAAGCUCUGUGGUUGUCAUUUUUAGGGAAAAGAACCUUUCAAGGAAAAAGCAAGCCCGGCUUAGCAGCCACUUAGAAGAAGCUCCUACCUGGCCUUCUGGACCAGUUAUACUGUUUGAAAUCAUCCAUAAUAACUCCACCCCAUCCAACCCCACCCAACCUCCUUGCAAGUUACCACCUGACAUCAUCAAUAGCCAGUCCUAUGUUUUGCUUUCCAUAGCAGGGCAUGUAGGUAACUCUCCAAGCCUAAGUAAGGCCUGAUAACCUGUCACAACAGGAAACUCUCACAAUUCGGGAAGUCACUUCAAGGCUCCUACCCCCCAAAACGCCCCUAUGACUUUGGAGUGGCUUUGACUUCCCCAGGGGCUGGCCAGCCAGGCUUACAGAGCAAGGUCGUCACUGGUUGACCAAGAAUAGCUGACAUUUUUCUAAUGCUAACACCACAGAAAUACAUUUAAAGCAUGAACCACAGAAUUCCCAACUGUGUAUCCUGAGGGUAUGAGGCAGCCACCUCUUAGGCAAGGUAAACCACUCAAGAGGAGCAGUUAUUUUGUCUCAUAAGGGCAUCGUCCACAGAGGAAAUGAGAAGAUUAUAGAGCAAAAAUAAGACACAACCGAGGGAUGGCUCAAGGGGAACACCAGCAUUCACCAAAGGGACACGGACCAGGAGGAUGGCAUCUGUAAUCUGGGAAGGUCCUUUCUGAAAAGGUCAGAAGCAGACAGGUUCCAGUCCAAUCAAGAACCUGCAAAGUUCCACAAAGGCCCUACCGUGCCUCGGAGGACUUGUCAUCAAGUCUGGGCUUAAUUGCACACAAGGCCUAUCACGUGCAUGGAUGGAUACCUUGCACAUCCCUGCACCCCUGAGAUCCUGGGAUCAUUCAGACAUGACAAAUAGCCUUGCACCAACCAUAGGAGGAAAAUAGUGUAUAUUUUAUUACCUGCUCACCACUACUAUUUUACAGAUGACAAAAACAAGGUUUCCAUAAUAACUGCCCAAAGAAAGUGCUGGAGACAGAAAUGAAAUCCAGACAAAGAACAGCUCCUAUCAAUUUGAAUCUACAAAUGUCUCCAUGAGUAAAACAGAAGGAAAUGCAGGUCCCAUUUCUCUUCCUUGACACAGGGGUUGGCCAAGAACACCAGCCAUCCUGAGCUGAAGGAAAGGAAGGCCCUGAAGGAAAGACAAGCAGCCUUCAUGGCCAAGGAGCCACUCAAGAGUGGGGAUGCAAUAAAGCAGAGCUGAAGGGAAACCAAAGCUGAACAGGAAAGGCAAAGACUCUGAAUGACAAAGGUAAUGGGUGAACCAAAGAAGCUUCUUAAGGAGAGGCAGAAGAUUAACUUGGAGACUAGGAAAAGAUGGGAGAAAGUAGAUUCUAGGAAUUUGGCUGAGAAGGGAAGAAAAGUUCUGGAAUGACCACUUCAAAGCAAACCAGAGCCCAACGAGUUGUUUUCAAGUGGGGGAGAAGGGAGGAAGCCAGCAGAGAGGGAGCAAGGGUGACAGAGAAGGGAGGAGAGCAAUCUCUGGAACAGAGAAAAGAUGAGAUCAAGGAUACAUGUAAGGAGGCUGGGCAAUGAGGAAGAUGACCUCUAAGACUGAAGCAAAAGAGAGAAAAGGGGUGAAGAUGGACUCUUGAGAUUGGGAGCAGAAAAAAAUGAGGGGGUUUAUAACAAAUUGCUUUGAUUUUCCCAGUCAAGUGGGAGUCAAGGUUGUCUACUUAGAGAAAGGAGGUUUAAAACAGCCUCUGUGGGGAGAAUAAAGGAAUAAAAAGGGAAGAAUCAAAGCAUUUCCAAAAGGCAGCAAGGACUUGGUUGAGAUCAUUCCACAUGAACUAGUAGCAGAUCCCGGCCAGCAUUGUAUUAUGGCUUCUUGAGGGUAGGAACAGAGAAGGCAGCUGAUGGGGGGUCAGAGUAAAAUCUACCUCUACCUCAGGGCAAGA